rnacentral:rRNA from 1 species
GACGAACGCUGGCGGCGUGCUUAACACAUGCAAGUCGAACGGAAAGGCCCUGCUUCUGUGGGGUGCUCGAGUGGCGAACGGGUGAGUAACACGUGAGUAACCUGCCCUUGACUUUGGGAUAACUUCAGGAAACUGGGGCUAAUACCGGAUAGGAGCUCCUGCUGCAUGGUGGGGGUUGGAAAGUUUCGGCGGUUGGGGAUGGACUCGCGGCUUAUCAGCUUGUUGGUGGGGUAGUGGCUUACCAAGGCUUUGACGGGUAGCCGGCCUGAGAGGGUGACCGGCCACAUUGGGACUGAGAUACGGCCCAGACUCCUACGGGAGGCAGCAGUGGGGAAUAUUGCACAAUGGGCGGAAGCCUGAUGCAGCAACGCCGCGUGCGGGAUGACGGCCUUCGGGUUGUAAACCGCUUUCGCCUGUGACGAAGCGUGAGUGACGGUAAUGGGUAAAGAAGCACCGGCUAACUACGUG